rnacentral:rRNA from 1 species
AGCAGCCGCGGUAAUUCCAGCUCCAAUAGCGUAUAUUAAAGUUGUUGCAGUUAAAAAGCUCGUAGUUGAAUUUCGGGACCAAUAUGUCGGUCGUACUUUGUACGUACUAGCAUUAUUGGUUUCUCCCUUCUGAAGAACCACGAUGUCAUUAAUUUGGUGUCGUGGGGAAUCAGGACUGUUACUUUGAAAAAAUUAGAGUGUUUAAAGCAGGCUCGCGCUUGAAUACAUUAGCAUGGAAUAAUGAAAUAGGACGUUUGAUUCUAUUUUGUUGGUUUCUAGGAUCGACGUAAUGAUUAAUAGGGAUAGUUGGGGGCAUUAGUAUUCAAUUGUCAGAGGUGAAAUUCUUGGAUUUAUUGAAGACUAACUACUGCGAAAGCAUUUGCCAAGGAUGUUUUCAUUAAUCAAGAACGAAAGUUAGGGGAUCGAAGACGAUCAGAUACCGUCGUAGUCUUAACCAUAAACUAUGCCGACUAGGGAUCGGA